CAAAAAUGUCAUAAAUAUUUACGGAAGUCUCCGAAAUAGAAAACCGGCUGAGGUUAAAGCCUGGAUAGACAACCAAAGAAGAAUUUUUCACUCUUCUAAACCGUAAAUAAAGUUUCUAAUACAGUGAGUUUCAGCACAUAUUAUUUUUAUUGGAAUAAUCUUUAGAAAACAAACACAUGUGGAGUUUGCUCGAAAGAAAAUGUUUAGUAGAACUAAAUGGUAAAUUAUAUUAUAUAUACUCAACUUUAAUCAUUCAAUCCUUGGAAAUUACAUGAACUACAUUCACUGCAAAAAAGUGUUUACAAAACCUAGCUAAACAAAAUUACAAUUUUCAACUCCUUCGGACUACAAGAAUAUAUUAUAUAACGCUGCUAUUUUCCUUUUUCCAUUUUCUUACACAUUGAUAUAAACAGUUAAUACAUUUAACAAAAUUUUAACAAUUCUUGGUCAAUACAUAUACGAUAAAUUUGAGUGCACAUUUUUAUUAUAUUAACGCGAUUGCGACAAACAAAUAUUUUGUAAACUGUGUUUGUACACAUUUAAGAAAGUUUAUAUCUUCAAAAACUAAAUAAUAUAUGUAAGACACAUAUAAAACCAUAUUUAAAAAAAUGUAUUCUAUCAG